rnacentral:sRNA from 1 species
GUGGAUUAGGGGUAUUAACACUAUUUCAUUUGCAUUGUGAGGUAUGCCAUGCUAUAUUUGAAUCAACAAGGAGUGAUUUUUCCACCUACGACGACUUCAUUAGGGCCAUCCGGGAUGGAAUAAGGAGAGCCAAAAAUAAAAAUUAUAAGGAAAAAUCCAAAAAAAACAAAGAAAAUU